rnacentral:rRNA from 1 species
UACGAAGGGGGCUAGCGUUGUUCGGAAUUACUGGGCGUAAAGCGCGCGCAGGCGGCUAUCCAAGUCAGUGGUGAAAUCCCUCAGCUCAACUGGGGAACUGCGUCUGAUACUGGUCGGCUUGAGUGCAGGAGAGGAACGCGGAAUUCCAGGUGUAGCGGUGAAAUGCGUAGAUAUCUGGAGGAACACCGGUGGCGAAGGCGGCGUUCUGGACUGCAACUGACACUGAGGAACGAAAGCCAGGGGAGCAAACGGG